AUGGGCCAGGGAGUGGAAUGUGAAGGUCUGGAUGAGAAUGGCCUCCCUAAAUUCACGUGUGUGCAUGCUUACUUCCCCGUGGAUGAACUGGGAACUAUCAUCAUCUGGAAAUAUCUUAACUCACAAUCUGAUGUCCUGGCCUGUGGUAGCUCAGAAUCUAACUACUGUAGGAUGAUGUUCAAAGACACUUGUUAGCCUGUUUAGAAGGCCUAAGCUUCCUCACAGUAUGGUGGCCUCCUCGUCGUCAGUCAUCUUGCCUGACUACUCUGACUCAAGUCGCUCAGGCUGGCCUCCAGCUCCUUACAUAACCGAGGAUGACCUGCAGCUUCUAAUUCUCCUGCUUCUGCUCCGGAAACAUAUUCAUGGACAAACCAGAAGUGUGUCUCCUAGCUAACUCCAAAUCCAGUCAACUUGAGGAUGAAGACAGAUAUCAG